UGGAAAAGUGCUCAUCCGACUCGCAGACUGGUACUGCGCAUAAGGUCACAGCCAUGCCGGCAAGAUGAAGAAAUUUGUUUUGGCAGUUGACCAGUGCAACUAGCAUUUGAACUUGCGGAUGGAAAAAAAACGCUGCAGCUUGGAGAAAGGUAAGAAUUUCCAACUGAGCUUCGCUCCUGCUACAUGGGACAACAACCUGAGUGAUGACGACUUUGAGUUCUACAAUGAGAUAAGAAAGUCUGCACGCAGUAAAGAGUUUAUGUUGACUGAGCGCUGCCACAAGAAGUUGACCACUAAAUACUCGGCUACCUACCACUCCUGGGAGAAGAAGCAUAAAGACACCUUGCACGGAGACUAGAUGAUGCCAAGAUCGUGCCGUACACUCAAGCGUGGUGGAGUUUAAAGGAACAGGUUCCACUUGGCAAAAUUGGCUCAACAACAGCGUGUUGUGGCCAAACCAUAAAUAAGUCAGUCAGUAGUAAGACUGCUGGCAACAAGUACAAGAAUGGUCGUGAGAUAAGAGCGCAAAGAGAAACACUUGGACCACAACGUCGUCACGGUUUGCCGAAGAAAUCCCCUCUCAGGAACCCGGUGUCCAUGAUGGACGACUGUAA